rnacentral:rRNA from 1 species
CCUACGGGAGGCAGCAGUGGGGAAUAUUGCGCAAUGGGCGAAAGCCUGACGCAGCGACGCCGCGUGAGGGAUGAAGGUCUUCGGAUCGUAAACCUCUGUCAGCAGGGAAGAACGGUCACUGUGCUAAUCAGCAGUGAAUUGACGGUACCUGCAAAGGAAGCACAGGCUAACUCCGUGCCAGCAGCCCCGGUAAUACGGAGGGUUCGAGCGUUAAUCGGAAUUACUGGGCGUAAAGCGCUGGUAGGCGGUAUCUCAAGUCAAGGGUGAAAUCCCCGCGCUCAACGUGGGAACUGCCUUUGAAACUGGCAAACUGGAGUGUGUGAGAGGAUAGUGGCAGUCCAGGUGUAGGAGUGA